rnacentral:tRNA from 1 species
GGAGAGGUGCCCGAGUGGCUGAAGGGGCUCGCCUGGAAAGCGGGUGUGCGUCCAAAAGGCGUACCGAGGGUUCGAAUCCCUCUCUCUCCG